rnacentral:rRNA from 1 species
ACUCCUACGGGAGGCAGCAGUGGGGAAUAUUGGACAAUGGGCGCAAGCCUGAUCCAGCCAUGCCGCGUGAGUGAUGAAGGCCCUAGGGUUGUAAAGCUCUUUCACCGGUGAAGAUAAUGACGGUAACCGGAGAAGAAGCCCCGGCUAACUUCGUGCCAGCAGCCGCGGUAAUACGAAGGGGGCUAGCGUUGUUCGGAUUUACUGGGCGUAAAGCGCACGUAGGCGGACUAUUAAGUCAGGGGUGAAAUCCCGGGGCUCAACCCCGGAACUGCCUUUGAUACUGGUAGUCUUGAGUUCGAGAGAGGUGAGUGGAAUUCCGAGUGUAGAGGUGAAAUUCGUAGAUAUUCGGAGGAACACCAGUGGCGAAGGCGGCUCACUGGCUCGAUACUGACGCUGAGGUGCGAAAGCGUGGGGAGCAAACAGGAUUAGAUACCCGAGUAGUCCCAUGAU